CUACGUGCCAGCAGCCGCGGUAAUACGUAGGGUGCGAGCGUUAAUCGGAGUUACUGGGCGUAAAGCGGGCGCAGACGGUUACUUAAGCAGGAUGUGAAAUCCCCGGGCUCAACCUGGGAACUGCGUUCUGAACUGGGUGACUAGAGUGUGUCAGAGGGAGGUAGAAUUCCACGUGUAGCAGUGAAAUGCGUAGAGAUGUGGAGGAAUACCGAUGGCGAAGGCAGCCUCCUGGGAUAACACUGACGUUCAUGCCCGAAAGCGUGGGUAGCAAACAGGAUUAGAUACCCUGGUAGUCCACGCCCUAAACGAUGUCGAUUAGCUGUUGGGCAGCAUGACUGCUUAGUAGCGAAGCUAACGCGUGAAAUCGACCGCCUGGGGAGUACGGUCGCAAGAUUAAAACUCAAAGGAAUUGACGGGGACCCGCACAAGCGGUGGAUGAUGUGGAUUAAUUCGAUGCAACGCGAAGAACCUUACCUGGUCUUGACAU
rnacentral:rRNA from 1 species